rnacentral:rRNA from 1 species
AGCAGCCGCGGUAAUUCCAGCUCCAAUAGCGUAUAUUAAAGUUGUUGCAGUUAAAAAGCUCGUAGUUGAAUUUCGGGAUUUGUCGGUUGGUCGGGCUUCACUGUCCGCACUGGCCUGACGGAUUCCUACCUUCUGAAUAACCAGCAUGCUAUUAAUUUAGUGCGUUGGGGAAGCAGAGCUAUUACCUUGAAAAAAUUAGAGUGCUUAAAGCAGGCUUGUGCUUGAAUAGAUUAGCAUGGAAUAAUAAAAUAGGACGGCAUGGUUCUAUUUUGUUGGUUUCUAGGAUCACCGUAAUGAUUAAUAGGGAUAGUUGGGGGCAUUAGUAUUCAAUUGUCAGAGGUGAAAUUCUUGGAUUUAUUGAAGACUAACUUCUGCGAAAGCAUUUGCCAAGGAUGUUUUCAUUAAUCAAGAACGAAAGUUAGGGGAUCGAAGACGAUCAGAUACCGUCGUAGUCUUAACCAUAAACUAUGCCGACUAGGGAUCGGACGAUGUUAAUUUUUUAAUGACUCG